rnacentral:tRNA from 1 species
GGAGCAGUGCGUGGCCGAAGGGUUACGCUGUCCGCUUUGUAUGCGGAUGAUUCUGGGUUCGAUUCCCAUCUGCUCCA